rnacentral:rRNA from 1 species
AAAUACCAAGGCGCUUGAGAGAACUCGGGUGAAGGAACUAGGCAAAAUGGCACCGUAACUUCGGGAGAAGGUGCGCCGGUGAGGGUGAAGCAUUUACUGCGUAAGCCCAUGCCGGUCGAAGAUACCAGGCCGCUGCGACUGUUUAUUAAAAACACAGCACUCUGCAAACACGAAAGUGGACGUAUAGGGUGUGACGCCUGCCCGGUGCCGGAAGGUUAAUUGAUGGGGUUAGCUAACGCGAAGCUCUUGAUCGAAGCCCCGGUAAACGGCGGCCGUAACAAUAACGGUCCUAAGGUAGCGAAAUUCCUUGUCGGGUAAGUUCCGACCUGCAAAUGGCGUAACGAUGGCGGCGCUGUCUCCACCCGAGACUCAGUGAAAUUGAAAUCGCUGUGAAGAUGCAGUGUAUCCGCGGCUAGACGGAAAGACCCCGUGAACCUUUACUAUAGCUUUGCACUGGACUUUGAAUUUGCUUGUGUAGGAUAGGAGGGAGGCUUUGAAGCGUGGACGCCAGUUCGCGUGGAGCCAACCUUGAAAUACCACCCUGGCAACUUUGAGGUUCUAACUCAGGUCCGUUAUCCGGAUCGAGGACAGUGUAUGGUGGGUAGUUUGACUGGGGCGGUCUCCUCCUAAAGAGUAACGGAGGAGUACGAAGGUGCGCUCAGACCGGUCGGAAAUCGGUCGUAGAGUAUAAAGGCAAAAGCGCGCUUGACUGCGAGACAGACACGUCGAGCAGGUACGAAAGUAGGUCUUAGUGAUCCGGUGGUUCUGUAUGGAAGGGCCAUCGCUCAACGGAUAAAAGGUACUCCGGGGAUAACAGGCUGAUACCGCCCAAGAGUUCAUAUCGACGGCGGUGUUUGGCACCUCGAUGUCGGCUCAUCACAUCCUGGGGCUGAAGCCGGUCCCAAGGGUAUGGCUGUUCGCCAUUUAAAGUGGUACGCGAGCUGGGUUUAGAACGUCGUGAGACAGUUCGGUCCCUAUCUGCCGUGGACGUUUGAGAUUUGAGAGGGGCUGCUCCUAGUACGAGAGGACCGGAGUGGACGAACCUCUGGUGUUCCGGUUGUCACGCCAGUGGCAUUGCCGGGUAGCUAUGUUCGGAAUAGAUAACGCUGAAAGCAUCUAAGCGGGAAACUAGCCUCAAGAUGAGAUCUCACUGGGACCUUGAGUCCCCUGAAGGGCCGUCGAAGACUACGACGUUGAUAGGUUGGGUGUGUAAGCGCUGUGAGGCGUUGAGCUAACCAAUACUAAUUGCCCGUGAGGCUUGACU